rnacentral:rRNA from 1 species
UGGGGAAUAUUGGACAAUGGGGGCAACCCUGAUCCAGCCAUGCCGCGUGUGUGAAGAAGGCCUUAGGGUUGUAAAGCACUUUCAGUGGGGAGGAAAAGUUAACGGCUAAUACCCGUUAGCCCUGACGUUACCUACAGAAGAAGCACCGGCAAACUCCGUGCCAGCAGCCGCGGUAAUACGGAGGGUGCGAGCGUUAAUCGGAAUUACUGGGCGUAAAGCGCGCGUAGGCGGCUUGUUAAGCUGGAUGUGAAAGCCCUGGGCUCAACCUGGGAACUGCAUACAGAACUGCCCGGCUAGAGCACGGUAGAGGCUGGUGGAAUUCCCGGUGUAGCGGUGGAAUGCGUAGAGAUCGGGAAGAACAUCCGUGGCGAAGGCGGCCAGCUGGGCCGUUGCUGACGCUGAGGCGCGACAGCGUGGGGAGCAAACAGGAUUAGAUACCCUGGUAGUCCACGCCGUAAACGAUGGGUACUAGGCGCUGGGGGGAGCGACCCCUCCGGUGCCGUCGCUAACGCAGUAAGUACCCCGCCUGGGGAGUACGGCCGCAAGGCUG